AUUGGACUGAAGAUGGCUUCAGUAACUUUUUCUUGUAUGCUUCUUAGUUCUGUCAGAAUUUUUUUUUUUGUUUUUAAUUUAAGUCUGGCAGUAGGCAGGCCACCCUUUGGAUUGCUGUGUCUCUCGGCCCAACUGGAAGUCUCCAAAGGGAAAAUAUCCUAACAUCAGGCAAAAGUUCCAUCUGAACUUUCUCAGUGUCUGGUGGCCAUAGCUACGGUGGAGUUGGAUUUGUUGGCCUCUUUCAUCCUCCACAGUUUGCCUUGCAAUUUGCAGAUGUGGCAGCUGCUCGCAGAAGGAAG
rnacentral:lncRNA from 1 species